AUAAUAAAACACUCUGCACGGAGGACACAGCCGGUGGGUGUUGACGGACGAGGAUACAUGGAGCGGAGCGGACAUGCAACACACAAACGUUUGUGUUGACGGACGAUGAGUAGGUUGAACAGAUUAGCGGUUAGCAUAGCCGAUUGAACAUUGUUCAAAAAGGAGUCCCUGUUUGAAAUAAAGUCAGAUUAAAGAUUUUUAAAAAAGAGGAAGAGGUUCAGUCAUUUAGCUCUAAUAAAUGUCCUGAUGUCAGGGAGUCUGCUCAGAGAUUGAAGAAGAGUCUGAGUCAGGAACUUUUCUGUGUUUUGAAGCAUUUCAUCACAUCGGGCUCAUGAUGUUGUUUAAAAUCCCCAAAAAAUCACAGAAAUGUUCUCCUAAUAAACCACAGAAACACUGAAAUGAUGAAUGAUGAAACUUCCUCCUACGUGACCUGAUCAUCGAAGCUCCUGGGAAAUUAUUAAGAAAUAAACCAAAUACACUCUCAGCAGAAUUCAAACUUCCUUAAAGGCAGGGUUGGUCAUUUCCUCCAGAUCCACUUUUUCAGAUUCUGGUUAAUUGUCUUUAGGUCCUGACAGAAAUUAAUAACUCAUGUUCUCUGAAACAGGAAAGAAGAAAAUCCGUCAUCUGUAUCAGUUUGUAAGUCUGUAAAAACUUUGACCAAUGUCUGCCACGAGGUACCAAUCUGAUGAACCAAUCAGACGCCUCCCUGUCUCCCUGCUCGCGCUCUACCUCUUAGCGUGCUCUAGCUCACACUCAAAGCAUGUCACUGAUGACUUUAGGAGUUUAUACUGAGAGUUUACUGACCGCUGAAUGAGACAUGAGACGACGUAGUUUCUACACAAUGACAGAGAUGAGCUGAGGUCCACUUCUGGAGAAACUGCGCUCGUGCAUAUCUUUGAAACAGGUCGUUCUGGUGAACUCUACGCAGAUGACGUUAGGCUGUUUGUUUCCUUCAUGUCGAUGUUUUGUACGCCCCUCCACCUCCCCAUCACCGCCCGUCUUCAAAAAAUCAUCAUCUAUCAAUUCUUCACCCAUCCGGUCUCAAGUCAGCAUCUCCACCACGAGGGUCUGGACUCCAUCCGGUCUCAACAAGUGCAGCUCACCAUGAGGGCCUGGACUCCAUGGGGGGUUUAUUCUGCGGCGGCCCAGAAGGGACAUUCUCCAAACACAUCAGACCCCCCAUAGAGUCCAAGUGCCAAAGACCUUCUGUCUGGACUCAUUUCCAUGAUUUCUAAUGCAAUUAAUCAUUUUUUUUAUUCA